rnacentral:lncRNA from 1 species
GAAGGGAGCCAGGAGGAGCUUCUCCUUCAAAACCCUAACCUACUAAAUUCAAUCAAAUUGAAGGUGAAACCUGUGGUAAUCCAAUGCAUGAGUUAGGAAUGUUCAUUCCCUAAGUGAAUUUCACAUCAAAAUGUGGUUUUGAUGGGCACGAAGAAAGAAGAAGGCGCAAGUCACUCGAAGUUACAAGCAUCUCAAGAUCACGGUAAAUUCCAUGUAUAAUUACGGCGCUCUCGGACCGAACACACACACAAUGUCGACUUUUAUGCGCU